GUAGGUGGCGAACGUUGUCCGGAUUCACUGGGCGUAAAGCGCGCGCAGGCGGACUGGUCAGUCCAGGGGUGAAAUCUCCCGGGCUCAACUGGGAGGAGUCCCCGGAUACUGCCAGCCUUGAGGUGCCUAGAGGAGAGUGGAAUUCUGGGUGUAGUGGUGGAAUGCGUAGAUAUCCGGAGGAACACCAGUGGCGAAAGCGACUCUCUGGGGGCAACCUGACGCUGAGGCGCGAAAGCGUGGGGAGCGAACCGGAUUAGAUACCCGGGUAGUCCACGCCGUAAACGAUGAGUACUAGCUGUAUGGGGUAUCGACUCCCUGUGUAGCGAAGCUAACGCGAUAAGUACUCCGCCUGGGGACUACGGCCGCAAGGCUA
rnacentral:rRNA from 1 species